GUUUAAUGGUAUCAGCAUGGCAGAUUUAUGGGGAAAAGGGGGACUAAAUGGAUAUGAUGCCCCCUAGAUUCAGGGAAAAUUUUGCAAUGAUGUCAAAUUAAUGAUUUGCUUCAGAAUUUGCAAUAUUAGGUUUAAAUUUUAAGGCAUCAAUCCAAAAUUCACCAAAAUAAUCCUCUAACACAAGGAAUCAUAUUCCCUAUGUUUGUUUGCAUGUGCAAGCUCGAUGUAUCUUGCUCAUUUGUUUCAUCCAUAUGUUCCCCUACUCACUUCCCCCCUCAUUUU
rnacentral:misc_RNA from 1 species